rnacentral:rRNA from 1 species
GGGGAAUAUUGGACAAUGGGGGAAACCCUGAUCCAGCAAUGCCGCGUGAGUGAAGAAGGCCUUAGGGUUGUAAAGCUCUUUCGGACGGGAAGAAAUGGCGGGCUCUAACAUAGCCUGUCGAUGACGGUACCGUAAGAAGAAGCACCGGCUAACUACGUGCCAGCAGCCGCGGUAAUACGUAGGGUGCGAGCGUUGUCCGGAUUUACUGGGUGUAAAGGGCGCGCAGGCGGGAUAAAAAGUCAGUGGUGAAAUCCUACAGCUUAACUGUAGAACUGCCUUUGAUACUUUCAUUCUUGAGUUCGGGAGAGAGAGACGGAAUUCCAGGUGUAGUGGUGAAAUACGUAGAUAUCUGGAAGAACACCAGUUGCGAAGGCGGUCUCUUGGUCCGAUACUGACGCUGAGGCGCGAAAGCGUGGGGAGCAAACA